CCUACGGGGGGCUGCAGUGGGGAAUAUUGGGCAAUGGGCGAAAGCCUGACCCAGCGACGCCGCGUGAGGGAAGAAGGUCUUCGGAUUGUAAACCUCUGUUGACGGGGACGAAUAAAUGACGGUACCUGUCGAGGAAGCCACGGCUAACUACGUGCCAGCAGCCGCGGUAAUACGUAGGUGGCAAGCGUUAUCCGGAUUUACUGGGUGUAAAGGGUGAGUAGGCGGGUCUGCAAGUCAGGUGUGAAAUACUGCGGCUCAACCGCAGAAUUGCAUUUGAAACUACGGAUCUUGAGUGUCGGAGAGGUAAUUGGAAUUCCCAGUGUAGCGGUGAAAUGCGUAGAGAUUGGGAGGAACACCAGUGGCGAAGGCGGAUUACUGGACGACAACUGACGCUGAGGCACGAAAGCGUGGGGAGCAAACAGGAUUAGAUACCCUUGUAGUC
rnacentral:rRNA from 1 species